rnacentral:lncRNA from 12 species
CCUGGAUUUGGUGACCUGAGUUAAUGAAGCCCAGUGCACCUCGGAGAGUUUACUCGUGCUGCACUCAUGGGAUGGGGAGGCAGGAAAUCAAAGCCCAGCUCACUCAUUAGGGACGGACCAGCUGUUGACCAAAAGCCAAAAAUAAAA